UUGCUUUGGUAGCAUAUAUACUAAAAUUAGAUCAACGCAGAGAAGAUUAGCAUGGUCCUUAAGUAAAGAUGAUAUACAAAUUCAUGAAGAAUUCCAUAUUUCC